UGCUUUUCCAUCAAACCCGGUUUCACUUAGGGUCGGAGUCAGAUGGGAAGGAGGAAGCCAGCAGAGCCAAUCAGAAGACGACAAAACGCCCAUGCACAUUUCUUUGUUUGUAUCUGUAUAAAUACACUGGAUCAGGGAAAGUUAGGUUGUCAGACUGUGGACUGACCAACACUUGUUAUUGGUUAGGGAAACACACAUCUGAUCCAGAAUUCUGUAUUUGUUCAUUGCUUGUUGAA